CCUGCUUUCAGCAGGGUGAUCAUUGCCAGCUGGAGGUCUGUGUCCUCAGCAGUUAUUUCAGGUAAAGCUCAUGCCCCUGGGCCCCAGAGUGGGGGAAAGCUGGUUCAUGCCCCUCCCUGCCUCCUGCAAGGCCCCUCUCCCAGGAUCCACCCUGGAGGGCUGUGGGGCCCGGGGCAUCGGCUGACCCCACCAGGCCCACAGCACCCUCAGGACCUCGCCACCCCUUGGGGAUCCACAGGGCAGCAUUCCGGGGCUUCUCCAAUGCAGGGGGCUCCAUUCGCCCAAAGGCCAAGGACUGCAGUGCACAUCAGGGUGAGGGGUCUGGAAGGUGGGUGCUUUGGGGGUGGGCCCAGCUGGGUGAGGCUGGGGAGCCUGGGGGCACCUCAGGGUGUAAGGAUUCAUUUCGGACAAAGCAUGUGCUCCCUUCUAUAGGAACCUUGAGCUCAACAGCCAAGGCCAGCCCAGGCCCACUUCCCCUUUGGCUGGUGCCACUUCUGGGUCGGGCUUCAGAGGCAAGGACAGGUCGGCAAUGUCCCUUCUCUGCCCGACUGCAGCCUGGGGCUUCUGGAGCGUUCCUGUUCCUGGUUCAGCUCAGCAAGCUGACAUUUGAAAGCUUCUGGAGGUUUCGUGUUAGAGGUGGCAGCCAUGUCCUGUCGACGGAAGACGCUGGGCCUUGGAAACAGCCUGCCCUCAGCAGAGUUUGUCAUGUUCGAGUUUUGGCUGCCCGAUGUUCAGCUUUUGGGUCUGGCUGAAGCUGCUCUGGUGAUUAUGCACAAACCUAUCCGAGGCAGUGAGAGCGCAGGUGCACCUGAGAGCCAGCCACGGUAUCAAGCUCUGAGGAUUCGAGCAAAGACACACAUUUGCUGGGCCUGA
rnacentral:lncRNA from 13 species